AGGCAGCAGUUAGGAAUCUUCCGCAAUGGACGAAAGUCUGACGGAGCAACGCCGCGUGAACGAUGAAGGCUUUCGGGUCGUAAAGUUCUGUUGUUAGGGAAGAACAAGUACCGGAGUAACUGCCGGUACCUUGACGGUACCUAACCAGAAAGCCACGGCUAACUACGUGCCAGCAGCCGCGGUAAUACGUAGGUGGCAAGCGUUGUCCGGAAUUAUUGGGCGUAAAGCGCGCGCAGGCGGUUCCUUAAGUCUGAUGUGAGAGCCCCCGGCUCAACCGGGGAGGGUCAUUGGAAACUGGGGAACUUGAGUGCAGAAGAGGAGAGCGGAAUUCCACGUGUAGCGGUGAAAUGCGUAGAGAUGUGGAGGAACACCAGUGGCGAAGGCGGCUCUCUGGUCUGUAACUGACGCUGAGGCGCGAAAGCGUGGGGAGCGAACAGGAUUAGAUACCCCAGUAGUCC
rnacentral:rRNA from 1 species